CGCAAGGGUUGCAGCGAAUUUUAAGCCGUCUGACGAGCCCAAUCCGGUUGGGUGUAAAAUACCGAAUUUUAAAACAUUGCCUGCCAAUGAAUCUCCGGCCACCAACACUUUACACUCCUUUUCCAUCUGCUGCAAUUGGAAGCAAAAGAGAUGAUAAAUGCUGCCAAAGAUUAUUUCUUAAGUAACACAUAAUUUCUUAGGUGGAGAAUCAAAUCAAGGAUGUCAUUUCUUUGAA